GACGAACGCUGGCGGCGUGCUUAACACAUGCAAGUCGAACGGUGAAGGGACCAGCUUGCUGGUUCUGGAUGAGUGGCGAACGGGUGAGUAACACGUGAGUAACCUGCCCCCUUCUUCUGGAUAACCGCAUGAAAGUGUGGCUAAUACGGGAUAUUCUGGGUCUGUCGCAUGGCGGGCCCGGGAAAGAUAUUGCUUCGGUGGGGGAUGGGCUCGCGGCCUAUCAGCUUGUUGGUGGGGUGAUGGCCUACCAAGGCGGUGACGGGUAGCCGGCCUGGGAGGGGGGACGGUCACACUGGGACUGGGACCCGGCCCCGACUCCUCCGGGAGGCAGCAGUGGGGAAUAGUGCACAAGGGGCGCAAGCCUGGUGCAGCGACGCCGCGUGGGGGAUGGGGGCCUUCGGGUUGUAACCCUCUUUCGCCAGGGAAGCAGGCCUGCUCCUUGGGGGUGGGUUGACGGGAGCUGGAAAAGAAGCGCCGGCUAACUACGU
rnacentral:rRNA from 1 species